rnacentral:rRNA from 1 species
UGGGGGAUAUUGCACAAUGGGCGAAAGCCUGAUGCAGCGACGCCGCGUGGGGGAUGAAGGCCUUCGGGUUGUAAACUUCUUUUGCUCUGAACAAGGCAUGCUAAUGGGUGUGUUGAGUAUAGGGGUUGAUUAGCGCCGGCUAACUACGUGCCAGCAGCCGCGGUAAUACGUAGGGCGCGAGCGUUGUCCGGAAUUAUUGGGCGUAAAGGGCUUGUAGGUGGCUGGUUGCGUCUGUCGUGAAAGCUCAUGGCUUAACUGUGGGUUUGCGGUGGGUACGGGCUGGCUUGAGUGCAGUAGGGGAGGCUGGAAUUCCUGGUGUAGCGGUGGAAUGCGCAGAUAUCAGGAGGAAUGCCGGUGGCGAAGGCGGGUCUCUGGGCUGUUACUGACACUGAGGAGCGAAAGCAUGGGGAGCGAACAGG